rnacentral:lncRNA from 1 species
AAGAGACGUUCAGUGGCUGCUUGAUCGGCGCAGCUCCGCACGGUUUCUAUGGCGCUGCGCUUCUUGUUCGCGAAAAAUGGACAUUUCCAGCCUGCGGAUUUUCACCUCCUAUGGACAAUAUUUGCACAUACCA